rnacentral:lncRNA from 1 species
CAUCUGGAACUUGAAGUAGUGACUUUCUCAGCUAACAUGUUCCCUUAUUCCAUAUGAUGGGGGGAAGGGUGGGAAAAGACUUCACUGUUUAAGGGUUCUGAGGAUGUCCCUCUUUCUGUCUAUCUCCCCUACACCCAGUCCUUCUCAUCUUCUUACAUUCUAGUUUCUUUAAAGUAUUUUCUGGGGCCGGCCCAGUGGCGCAACGGUGAAGUGCGCACGUUCCGCUUCACUGGCCCAAGGUUUGCCGGUCCGGAUCCCAGAGCUCUGAACGAGCCCUUCAAGGAGUGCCACUAUUUCUGUAAGAAACUGAGGUGUGUGCUACCGUGUUCCCUGAGCCCCUUCAUCAGAGAAUUCCAGAGUCUUCUGCUGAUCUCCUCCUGCUAGAACCCUCCCGAUGGUCCUCCCCUCUUCACAGCCCAUGUGGACCUCUAGCUGGAGGGUGACUCUGCCUUUGGAUGGACAGAACUGCUUCUCAAUUCAGGAUGAGUAUGCAUGAGUGUGAAACAGCACAAGUGGGGAGGAAAUGUGGGUUCCUAUGUGUGCGGUAGCUUUGGGUCAGGCUGUGUAGGAGUUCUGUUUCCCCAGCCACCAACGAUCCAUGUUGCCUUUCUGCCACACAUAGGCCCAAUCACCCAAACAGAACUCAGAGCUCUUGAAAAUAUAAAUGUGCUCAGCAUCCCGUGGGGGAGCUACCUAGCUGAGACCAGUCACAGAUGGAGGAAGUGGAGGCAAAAUUUCCCAGGGGUGGUGCAGCCUGUUGACUCCCUUCUGGGUUGGAGGACACCUGUUUUAGUGUGGAUUCCCCCAAGAGCAGACUCUGAGAUGAGGGCUGCAAUGCAGGUAAUUUACUUCAGAGGUGAGCCCAGGAAAUAGGAAUAAAGAAAUGGGGAAAGCAAGAUACGGAAGGGAGAAGGUCGAGAAGCCAAUACUAACAUGUGUUGAAGGACUCGUAACUGCCAUGGGCAACUGGGGCUCCAUGCUGCUGGGAACCCACUGAGAAACUUUGUGGAACAGCCUCAACACUGUCCUCCCAAAUGAUGAGGAGGCUGGAGUAUUUAUCCACUGACUUCCACCCCCCUGUUGCUUACAGGUGACCAUCAGGGAACUUUCAAGUUAUGUCUGUGCAGCAAAGCCAGCUGCGUAGCUCAGGUCCUCCUGUCUUUACCACUACUACCCAUUAGAAUACCCCAACACCACAAUUCCUGCCCCUCCUGAGUUCUCCCACCCAACUGUGUUGCGGCCUUUUCUCUUUGCUGGGUUCUUAGGUCUGAGCUUGAAAGAGGAAGUGAAGCGGGCUGAUAUCUUUGCCCACAACCCGUUCUAGGAAAAAGGAACUAUGGUGGUUUACUUCUUCCCCCAUUUCAACCUAUCCAAUCUACCUAAACAGCUCUCAACCACCUUCACCUCAUCCCAAAGCAAGGGACAGGAAAGAGGGCGAGGGCAAGGAAGUAGGCAGGCUUUCUGGAAUGACUUCUGGUGUCAGAGAGUCAUACAAGCAGAGCUAGAAGGGUGAGCUCUCUCAUUAGAAAGAUGAGACUCAGUAUCUUUUGCUUCUCCUGCUACUUGCGGCACCUGCGCUAGACAGGCUUCCCUGAUUUAUCUUGGCUUUCCGCUGUUCUAACCCACUUGAUCGUAAUCAGGACUCAGCCCUUUAUACCCUCGGAGGCAGGUGAAGGCCGUGACUCGGGGAAGAAGCUUGAACUCUGUAGGGGAGACACAGCUUCCAUCACAGGCCUCUGGCUCCCUUCCCUGGAGUUCUCGCUUGCCUGUCUGUCAUCCACAGGGACUCACAGGAGGGGCAUGCUGAGAGGAAAUGUCUUAAUAUCACCAGAGGUUUUUUUUCCCCUAGGUUAAGAUGGUUUCCUUUUGCUCCCACAUUUCCUCUUUCUCCCUCCUGAAACCCAUGAAAACAACUAUAAAGGAGUUGUUUUCUAAAAAGACACAAACUCAUGAGGGCAGAAACGACAGAAGAAGAGACAUUAGCAAAAAGAAUUUUGGAAGCUAGAAGACAGAUGGAUGAGUGGUAAUUGACUUAGCAGCCCCAAGAAAGCUGAAACCCAGGGAAAGCUAAGAACAGCCCUAUUUUCAUGGCAAAAUCCUAAAAAAAAAAAAAAGGAAUUGGCAGUCAGAUAGCUCUGGAAUGGAGCAAGCCAAAAUCAGGAGAACUGGGUGAAAGGUGACUGGGAAAAAGUUAAAGUCCUAGUUCCCCUCUCCUACCCUCCACGCUGCAGGGCCCUCUCCAAGCAGGCAGAGGACUGAAGAUUCAGUCUCUGGAGAGGGUUAAACAGAGGGUCUCUGAAGUGUGGGCACCAGGCACGGCUGAGAACAAAGGUUUCAUGUGAACAACAGGAGCAUUAAGUGAAUAUUUACUCACUGCAGGCUGAGAUCAUCGGCUUUCUUUUCUGCUCACUUCCCAAAUCACUGGCAGCCACGCUCCACCCCCCUUUUCUGGGAUUUCUGACCAGCCAAAAAGGAAAGAACUCAGAAUGCUGGCAUUGGAGUUUCCAACAAAUGAUCACCUCCGUCUCCCAACAGUGAGUCUCUGAGUUGACAAGCCCAACUCUUGCACUCAGGGCUUUCAAGAAGCUUUUCAGGCCUUUACUCUAAGAGCAGACAGCCAAAGGUCACGUCUUAGGUUCCCUAGAAACAGAAGCUGAGAUGGGAAUUCCAGUGCAUGUGAUUUAUUGAGAGUGGGCUCUCAGGAAAAGCCUCCCCCACUCCCCACAUCUCACCUCCUGCAGAAGCAGCAGGGGAAGGAGCUGAGUAAGGAUGUGGUCUCAGCUGAAGUCUAGCCUCAGUCUGAUCCCAUAGGGAACCUGGGAGUGUGAACUGCAUCAUAGAGUUGAUCUCAACUUGAAGCAAGAGGGCUGGUUUGUAUCCACAUACUAAUCAAUUGUUGACUGUGGGCUGCCAGAGAGGAGACCUUAACCUCCUGGCAAGACAGCUCCUGGCUGAGGUCAAUUGUCUAGAGAAAGAGGGCAGCUCUGAUCCAUUAACAAUGAACAUUCACAGGAGCUGAGAGUAUGGGCAGGACACUAGUAACAUUUGCCACAGAAUACCAGAUAUCUGAGGAAAACUGCUAACAUGGAAGACAGAGAACAAAUAAUGAAAACAAAUCAAAGCACACAAGCAAACUAACAAUAAAAAUAAACAGAAAGAAGCAA